ACGGUAUUCAAUUCUGUUCUGAUCUCUGCGGUGUUGAACAGCAUUAGUUUCACCCUCUCUUCGACGAGGUGCCCCAACAAACGGCUUCCUAGAAGAAGAGGAACCAGCAUCUUGGAUCUUCCCAGUUUUAAUCAAACUCUCAGUCCUCUCUCCACAAAUGACAACAUCAGAAAAACUACCGAAUGGGCAGCUCCCCAUCCGGUCCAUAAACACACCUUGAAGAGUGCCGAUAAACAUAUCUGUC
rnacentral:lncRNA from 1 species